UGGGGAAUAUUGCACAAUGGGGGAAACCCUGAUGCAGCGACGCCGCGUGAAGGAAGAAGUAUCUCGGUAUGUAAACUUCUAUCAGCAGGGAAGAAAAUGACGGUACCUGACUAAGAAGCCCGGCUAACUACGUGCC
rnacentral:rRNA from 1 species